rnacentral:lncRNA from 1 species
GAAUUGUGAUCACAUUGUUUAGAAGCCUACAGUGAGAUUAUUUUAUGAAUUUGGAUUGCAAAUCUACUUUCACUUGUUUCCAGUCUGUUCUUCUGAUUCAGCACACUGCCUGCUUUUGUUUGCUUGUCUGCUUGUUUUGCUUUAUUUAAAUUCUGCUUCCAUUCGUUCUGGUAUCAUUAAGCACCUCAUUCAGGAUCUUCCAGAUUUUUUUUUCACAUAUAGUAAAUGUACAGUUAUUAUUUCUGCACAGAGUCCAGUUUUUUAUCUUUUAAAACAGUGCUUCCUUUCUAACGAAAUCCCACUCUUCCAGGAUUCAAAGUACAUGCAUAUUUUUGGGACACACUGCAAUACUUUGACAUGGUUUUAUAACAUUUAUUGUAUUAUUUUAAGUAAAUGACUGAGUGCCAGUGGGUAAUGCAUGUUACAAAAAUAAAAUAAUUUAACAUGGUAGUUACAUUUGUAUAUAAUUUUCUUUUACAACUAUUACAGCCAGUGAGCCAGUGGCAUAAAGAUACAUGGUCCUACAGAUUUCCGAAUGCAACAGAUGCUGAAGAACAGUAGCAACCAUAAUACCACAGAAAGAUUUAUAUAAAAUGUCAUUUUCCUUCUUUACUUGCAUCUCAGCUCUUCAACACUCUGAGAGAUGCCAGUAGGCAGCAAAAACCCCAAGGGUUCUGGUUUGAUAUGUAGAGAAAGAGAUACCUGUGCUGGUGGCAUUCCCCGGAUAGGUGGAAACCUUGUAAUGAUUUUUGGUUGUUUCUCUGGUUCCAGGACUUGGACAAACAAUCUGGAUCUUAUUCUGUUCAAUUCUUCAUGCACUGUGCUAGUUUUCAUUUUCUUCUUCAACUCUUUUGACUUUCCACUUGGCUUCUUGAAGAAGCUUGGAGUUAUAUACAGUUUAUAGCUAAAGUCAGGAGGCUGUUUUGUCCAGGAUUCUUUUUCAGGAGGGAAUUUGGGUUGCUGCAAUGCAUGGACUGUAUUUCGUGCUAAGGCUAACUCCAGAUUUGUAGUAAACUUUUCCUUUAAAUCAAAAGUACACUUAGAUCGGUUUCUGUCAUGGAUACAGGGAAACAUUUUGCAUUUGCCCCUUCAGUCCUAAGCAAGACAAAAAAAAGCAUGUUAUUAUCACUGAUCAUUUUCAACAUGCAUGCUUUUUAUUACCCUUCUGCUGCAUCAUUUUCUUCCCAGGAGAUCAAAGUGGAAUGCAUGCUUCUGAUAUUUUUCUUCUCCAUUCUUCCCCUAUAAGGAAGUUUAAGCUGAUGGAAGGUGAAAAUCCCUUUUGGGGAAGAGCAGAAUUUUGAACCUGGGUGUCCAAAACUCUAAAUAUUGCACCUCUCUCAAACCCACAAUACUUUCAGUACUGCAUGUAUUAUUACAUUCGCAACAUAGCUCUCUUUCAGUUAAAAAGAAAAACUGUGAUGUAAAUGUAAUAAUACAUGUAGUCCUUAACACGUAUAGCCAUAUACAGAUUAUGAAGUAUUUUCUGCAGCUGAACAUUAAAUCACAAGCAAGAUCAUGUCAAACAAUGGUUUUCCAUGCUCUUCAUAACAGACCAGUUCCCAGGAAAAUAAGAAAUGCACCUACGAAAAGGAAAUAUUUUUUUCCUCCUGAACAGUGUCGUGUGGAAAACCAGCUGUGUUCAUAGGACAGCUUGUGCAAUGCCCAUAUCAGCUUGAUUAACAUAUAAGCAGGUUUUGAAUAUAUCAAAUGGCUGUUUCAGAGUUCAUCAAGUAAGACAGCAAAGUAAAAUGUAAAAGUUUACAAAAAAUAUAGAAAAAAAUUGCUAAGCCUCUAUGCUUUGAGAUUGUUGUUGCAGUUAUGUGCUGUCAAGUUGGAACAGACUUACAGUGACCCUAAUAGGGCUUUCAAGGUAAGGGAUUUAAGGAAUGGUUGUAGCAGUUCUACACCCCCACAGAAGAUUUAAGGAAAGGUUGUAGCAGUUCUACACCCCCACAGAACUUCCAUGACUUCCAUCCAGACCCAGGCCUCCUGAAUCCUAAUCCAUCAUUCUAUCCAUAGGCCUCCUGAAUCCUAAUCCAUGAUUCUAUCCACUACACCUCACUGGGUUAGGUAGAAAUGUUAAAGUUAUGAGGGACACAAUACACAAAACACAGGUUUCGAAGGCUAAAUAUAUAUAGCAACUUAACUGCAGCUAGUAAAACAGUAACCAAGCUGAAAAUGUGACGAGAUUGUACUCACCCUCUCUGAAAUCAAAUCUUUUGCAAAAUUCUUGGGCUAGAUCAGUCUUUUCUUCAGCACUAGAGAAAACCAAGCCAAAAAAAUAAAUAAAAAAGAAUUCACA